rnacentral:rRNA from 1 species
UACGGAGGGUGCAAGCGUUAUCCGGAAUUAUUAGGUGUAAAGGGCGCGUAGGCUGUUCGGUAAGUCAGAUGUGAAAUCUCGCGGCUCAACUGCGAGUCUGCAUCUGAAACUAUCGAACUUGAGUAUAGGAGGGGAAAACGGAAUUCCUGGUGUAGCGGUGAAAUGUGUAGAUAUCAGGAGGAAUACCGAGGGCGAAAGCGGUUUUCUAGACUAAUACUGACGCUGAGGCGCGAAAGCUAGGGGAG